UACGUAGGGGGCAAGCGUUGUCCGGAUUUAUUGGGCGUAAAGAGCGUGUAGGCGGCUAUACAGGUCCGUUGUGAAAACUCGAGGCUCAACCUCGAGACGCCGAUGGAAACCGUAUGGCUAGAGUUCGGAAGAGGCGAGUGGAAUUCCCGGUGUAGCGGUGAAAUGCGCAGAUAUCGGGAGGAACACCUAUGGCGAAGGCAGCUCGCUGGGACGUUAACUGACGCUGGAGACGCGAAAGCGUGGGGAGCAAACAGG
rnacentral:rRNA from 1 species